GACGAACGCUGGCGGCGUGCCUAAUACAUGCAAGUUGAGCGCUGAAGGUUGGUACUUGUACCAACUGGAUGAGCAGCGAACGGGUGAGUAACGCGUGGGGAAUCUGCCUUUGAGCAGGGGACAACACUUGGAAACGAAUGCUAAUACCGCAUAAAAACUUUAAACACAAGUUUUAAGUUUGAAAGAUGCAAUUGCAUCACUCAAAGAUGAUCCCGCGUUGUAUUAGCUAGUUGGUGAGGUAAAGGCUCACCAAGGCGAUGAUACAUAGCCGACCUGAGAGGGUGAUCGGCCACAUUGGGACUGAGACACGGCCCAAACUCCUACGGGAGGCAGCAGUAGGGAAUCUUCGGCAAUGGACGAAAGUCUGACCGAGCAACGCCGCGUGAGGGAAGAAGGUUUUCGGAUCGUAAAACUCUGUUGGUAGAGAAGAACGUUGGUGAGAGUGGAAAGCUCAUCAAGUGACGGUAACUACCCAGAAAGGGACGGCUAACUACGUG
rnacentral:rRNA from 1 species